rnacentral:rRNA from 1 species
CCUACGGGUGGCAGCAGUGGGGAAUAUUGGGCAAUGGGCGCAAGCCUGACCCAGCAACGCCGCGUGAAGGAAGAAGGCUUUCGGGUUGUAAACUUCUUUUCUCAGGGACGAAGCAAGUGACGGUACCUGAGGAAUAAGCCACGGCUAACUACGUGCCAGCAGCCGCGGUAAGACGUAGGUGGCAAGCGUUAUCCGGAUUUAAUGGGUGUAAAGGGCGUGUAGGCGGGGACGCAAGUCAGAUGUGAAAACCCCGGGCUCAACCUGUGGCCUGCAUUUGAAACUGUGUUGCUUGAGUACUGGAGAGGCAGACGGAAUUCCUAGUGUAGCGGGGAAAUGCGUAGAUAUUAGGGGGAACACCAGUGGCGAAGGCGGGCUGCUGGACAGCAACUGACGCUGAGGCGCGAAAGCGUGGGGAGCAAACAGGAUUAGAUACCCAGUAGUC